rnacentral:rRNA from 1 species
AUGACGAAGACGAUGCCAUGUGACUCUUCAGCGAGUGGAGCAUUGGUGCCGAGCUACUCGGCAGCUAUGGCGGUGGCCGCGACGGCAGCGAUGACGGCGGAAGCGGGGAAGCAUCCAUUCCUGCUGCUCACGGGGACGAACUACGUGGACCGGGUGAUGAGGAUGAAAUACCUCUUGCGAGCCAAUGGCGCAUGGGCUGCCUCGUGCGGCAUCAUCCGCGGAGGUCGACAAGGGCAAAGAGGAGAUUGCCAUGACGAUCAUCUCCCAGUCGAUCGACGACCCGACGCUGCUGCGAGUUGA